GUAAGGAAUAUUGCACAAUGGGGGAAACCCUGAUGCAGCAACGCCGCGUGGGCGACGAAGGCCUUCGGGUCGUAAAGCCCUUUUCUGAGGGAAGAGGAAGGACGGUACCUCAGGAAUAAGUCUCGGCUAACUACGUGCCAGCAGCCGCGGUAAAACGUAGGAGGCGAGCGUUAUCCGGAUUUACUGGGCGUAAAGCGCGUGCAGGUGGCUUGGCAAGUUGGGCGUGAAAUCUCCUGGCUUAACUGGGAGGGGUCGUCCAAUACUGUUAGGCUUGAGUGCAGGAGAGGGAAGCGGAAUUCCCGGUGUAGCGGUAAUAUGCGCAGAUAUCGGGAGGAACACCAGUGGCGAAGGCGGCUUCCUGGCCUGUUACUGACGCUAAGACGCGAAAGCUAGGGGAGCGAACGGGAUUAGAAACCCCGGUAGUCC
rnacentral:rRNA from 1 species